UACGAAGGUGGCAAGCGUUACUCGGAAUUACUAGGCGUAAAGGGCAGGUAGGUGGUUUGAUAAGUCUGUUGUGAAAGCUCCUGGCUUAACUGGGAGAGGUCAACAGAAACUAUCAGGCUUGAGUAUGGGAGAGGGUAUUGGAAUUCCCGGUGUAGCGGUGAAAUGCGCAGAUAUCAGGAGGAACACCAAGUGCGAAGGCAGCUCGCUGGGACGUUACUGACGCUGAGGCGCGAAAGCGUGGGGAGCAAACAGG
rnacentral:rRNA from 1 species